rnacentral:rRNA from 1 species
GAUGAACGCUGGCGGCGUGCCUAACACAUGCAAGUCGAGCGAGAUUCAUGGAAGUGGAGACUUCGGUCAAAGCGACCAUGAUGAAAGCGGCGGACGGGUGAGUAACGCGUGAGCAAUCUGCCCCAUACAAAGGGAUACCCACUGGAAACGGUGAUUAAUACCUUAUAAGACCACAACGUCGCAUGGCGAUGGGGUCAAAGAUUUAUCGGUAUGGGAUGAGCUCGCGUCUGAUUAGCUAGUUGGUGAGGUAAUGGCUCACCAAGGCGACGAUCAGUAGCAGGCCUGGGAGGGUGAACGGCCACACUGGAACUGAGAAACGGUCCAGACUCCUACGGGAGGCAGCAGUGGGGAAGAUUGCACAAUGGGUGCAAGCCUGAUGCAGCAACGCCGCGUGAAUGAUGAAGGCCUUCGGGUCGUAGAGUUCUGUCCAAAGGGAAGAAUACAGUGACGGUACCUUUGGAGGAAGCCCCGGCUAACUACGUGCCAGCCGCCGCUGUAA